GAGCCAAAUCAUGAACAAAGGCUCUGAAGGCAAGUCUACCUCUGGGUCAAUUGUGAACACUGUUGCAUAGCAAACUUCGAUCUACAGAAAAUUACGCUGCAAAGCAGUCACAAGACUUCUGGUGUAACCUGAAAGAACAGGAGAAGCAGGUUCUGCAUGGCCUCUGGGGUUUUCACACCUCUUUAGUUGGCAGUGAUCAUCAUACCAUGAAUCAUACUGGAUAAGAUUACCUGCCGUGCUAGAAAGACAGCAUGCAAGUCAUUCUCAGUCUAUGUACUGCAGUGAACAGAGCACCCUCCCUCUCCUCCCUGAAAUCUGACAUCAUGAAGCGGUUUUCUUUGUGUGUUCAUCGAGAGCCUCCUUCUGCCAGUGCUGAAUCCUUCUUGUGUGGUUCUGCACUCCAGUCCUAUUCCUGCUCAUCCCAGUUCUGCCAGUCUCUGUUUCUCUGGCCUAUAGCAUGUCCUACUUUUUGUCCAGCAACUCUCCCAACCAGCAAGCAGUAUACAGGCUACAGGAGACUCACAGCAAUAGAGCUACAAGGACUGUAAGUGAAGGCAGAAUUUGGUCCAUAGUCUUGAAUAAGGAUUCAUACAAGAUGCAUCCAGGUGCUGUAUGCUACGUACAAAUUUGUUAAAUCUUAUCAUAUGAGUAGCUGAUGCAACUAG